rnacentral:rRNA from 1 species
GACAGAGGCCUCAAGCGUUAGGCGGAAUCACUGGGCUUAAAGCGUGUGUAGGCGGAUCGUUAAGUGUCUUGUGAAAUCCCACGGCUCACCCGUGGAACUGCUGGGCAUACUGGCGAUCUUGGGCCAACUAGGGGCAACUGUAACAAGCGGUGGAGCGGUGAAACGCGUAGAUAUCGCUUGGAACGCCGAAGGUGAAAACAGGUUGCUGGGGUUGUGCCGACGCUGAGACACGAAAGCCAGGGGAGCAAACGGG